AACUUUCAGCAAUGGAUCUCUUGGUUCUGGCAUCGAUGAAGAACGCAGCGAAAUGCGAUAAGUAAUGUGAAUUGCAGAAUUCAGUGAAUCAUCGAAACUUUGAACGCACCUUGCACCCUCUGGCAUUCCGGGGGGUAUGCCUGUUCGAGCGUCAUUACAACCCUCAAGCCUUGCUUGGUGUUGGGUGCCACCUGUCACAGGGUGCACCUCAAAAUCAGUGGCGGUGCGUCCUGGCUUCAGGCGUAGGAAAGGUUCUCGAUCCGGAGCCCAGGCGGCAUGCCUGCCAACAACCUCGACCACCUCAAAGGUUGACCUCAGAUCAGGUAGGGAUACCCGCUGAACUUAAGCAUAUCAAUAAGCGGAGGCU
rnacentral:misc_RNA from 1 species